rnacentral:rRNA from 1 species
UCGGAGAGAGCGGCGGACGGGUGAGUAACGCGUGGGUAACCUGCCCUGUACACACGGAUAACAUACCGAAAGGUAUACUAAUACGGGAUAACAUACGAAAGUCGCAUGGCUUUUGUAUCAAAGCUCCGGCGGUACAGGAUGGACCCGCGUCUGAUUAGCUAGUUGGUAAGGUAAUGGCUUACCAAGGCAACGAUCAGUAGCCGACCUGAGAGGGUGAUCGGCCACACUGGAACUGAGACACGGUCCAGACUCCUACGGGAGGCAGCAGUGGGGAAUAUUGCACAAUGGGCGAAAGCCUGAUGCAGCAACGCCGCGUGAGCGAUGAAGGCCUUCGGGUCGUAAAGCUCUGUCCUCAAGGAAGAUAAUGACGGUACUUGAGGAGGAAGCCCCGGCUAACUACGUGCCAGCAGCCGCGGUAAUACGUAGGGGGCUAGCGUUAUCCGGAAUUACUGGGCGUAAAGGGUGCGUAGGUGGUUUUUUAAGUCAGAAGUGAAAGGCUAUNGCUCAACCGUAGUAAGCUUUUGAAACUAGAGAACUUGAGUGCAGGAGAGGAGAGUAGAAUUCCUAGUGUAGCGGUGAAAUGCGUAGAUAUUAGGAGGAAUACCAGUAGCGAAGGCGGCUCUCUGGACUGUAACUGACACUGAGGCACGAAAGCGUGGGGAGCAAACAGGAUUAGAUACGCUGGUAGUCCACGCCGUAAACGAUGAGUACUAGGUGUCGGGGGUUACCCCCCUCGGUGCCGCAGCUAACGCAUUAAGUACUCCGCCUGGGAAGUACGCUCGCAAGAGUGAAACUCAAAGGAAUUGACGGGGACCCGCACAAGUAGCGGAGCAUGUGGUUUAAUUUCGAAGCAACGCGAAGAACGCUACCUAAGCUUGACAUCCCCACUGACCUCUCCCUAAUCGGAGAUUUUCCCUUUCGGGGACAGUGGUGACAGGGUGGGUGCAUGG